AACCAGGGAUUGCCUUAGUAGCGGCGAGUGAAGCGGCAAAAGCUCAAAUUUGAAAUCUGGCACUUUCAGUGUCCGAGUUGUAAUUCUGAAGAAGGUAUCUUUUGGGUCUGGCUCUUGUCUAUGUUUCUUGGAACAGAACGUCACAGAGGGUGAGAAUCCCGUGCGAUGAGAUGUCCCAGACCUAUGUAAAGUUCCUUCGAAGAGUCGAGUUGUUUGGGAAUGCAGCUCUAAGUGGGUGGUAAAUUCCAUCUAAAGCUAAAUAUUGGCGAGAGACCGAUAGCGAACAAGUACAGUGAUGGAAAGAUGAAAAGAACUUUGAAAAGAGAGUGAAAAAGUACGUGAAAUUGUUGAAAGGGAAGGGCUUGAGAUCAGACUUGGUAUUUUGUAUGUUACUCUCUCGGGGGUGGCCUCUACAGUUUACCGGGCCAGCAUCAGUUUGAGCGGUAGGAUAAGUGCAAAGAAAUGUGGCACUGCUUCGGUAGUGUGUUAUAGUCUUUGUCGAUACUGCCAGCUUAGACUGAGGACUGCGGCUUCGGCCUAGGAUGUUGGCAUAAUGAUCUUAAGUCGCCC
rnacentral:rRNA from 1 species